AUCGGCACCAACGCUCAGCUAAUCGAUGUACGCGAGGCGACAAACACCGAGCCGGCACCGUUGGCACCAACGCUCAGCGGAUCGAUGUACGCGAGGCGACAAAACACCGAGCCGGCACCGUUAGCACCAACGCUCAGCGGAUCGAUGUACGCGAGGCGACAAAACACCGAGCCGGCACCGUCGGCACCAACGCUCUGCGGAUCGAUGUACGCGAGGCGACAAAACACCGAGCCGGCACCGUCGGCACCAACGCUCAGCGAAUCAAUGUACGCGAGGCGACAAACACCGAGCCGGCACCGUUAGCACCAACGCUCAGCGGAUCAAUGUACGCGAGGCGACAAAACACCGAGCCGGCAUCAUCGGCACCAACGCUCAGCGAAGCGAUGUACGCGAGGCGACAAAACACAGGCCGGCACUCUGGGAUUAACGCAGCGAGAUCAG
rnacentral:lncRNA from 1 species